GAUUAACGCUGGCGGCGUGCCUAAUGCAUGCAAGUCGAACGUGGCGCCUUCGGGCGUUAACGUGGCGGACGGGUGAGGAACACGUGGGGAACCUGCCCAUUGGUGGGGGGUAGCCCGCGGAAACGCGGGGUAAUUCCGCAUACGCUGGCCUGGGGAUAGCCCGGGUCAGGAAAGGGUCUUUAGACUCGCCGAUGGAGGGGCCUGCGUCCGAUUAGCUAGUUGGUGGGGUAAUGGCCUACCAAGGCGAUGAUCGGUAGCUGGUCUGAGAGGACGGCCAGCCACAGGGGAACUGAGACACGGUCCCCACUCCUACGGGAGGCAGCAGCAAGGAGUUUUCCGCAAUGGGCGAAAGCCUGACGGAGCAACGCCGCGUGGGGGAUGACGCCCUUCGGGGUGUAAACCCCUUUUCUUGGGGACGAAGCAGUGACGGUACCCGAGGAAGAAGGCCCGGCUAACUACGUGCCAGCCGCCGCCGUAACAC
rnacentral:rRNA from 1 species